rnacentral:rRNA from 1 species
GCAAGUCGAACGCUCUCGAUCUUCGGAUCAAUGAGAGAGUGGCGAACGGGUGAGUAAUACGUAAGAAACCUGCCCAAAGACGAGGAUAACUAUUGGAAACGAUAGCUAAUACUGGAUAGGACAUCAGACCACAUGGUCUAAUGUUUAAAGGGUGAGAUUGCACCGCUAUGGGAUGGUCUUGCGCUGCAUUAGCUAGUUGGUAAGGUAACGGCUUACCAAGGCGACGAUGAGUAGCUGGUCUGAGAGGAUGAGC